rnacentral:rRNA from 1 species
CCUACGGGUGGCAGCAGUGAGGAAUAUUGGUCAAUGGACGAGAGUCUGAACCAGCCAAGUAGCGUGAAGGAUGACUGCCCUAUGGGUUGUAAACUUCUUUUAUAAAGGAAUAAACCGAGGCACGUGUGCCUUUUUGCAUGUACUUUAUGAUAAGGAUCGGCUAACGCCGUGCCAGCAGCCGCGGUAAUACGGAGGAUCUGAGCGUUAUCCGGAUUUAUUGGGUUUAAAGGGAGCGUAGAUGGGUUGUUAAGUCAGUGGUGAAAAUUUGGGUCUCAACCGUCGAAUUGCAAUUGAUACUGGCAGGCUUGAGAACAGUUGAGGUAAGCGGAAUGCGUGGUGUAGCGGUGAAAUGCUUAGAGAUCACGAAGAACCCCGAUUGCGAAGGCAGCUUACUAAGCUGUGACUGACAUUGAGGCUCGAAAGUGUGGGUAGCAAACAGGAUUAGAUACCCUAGUAGUC